rnacentral:snoRNA from 1 species
UUGUGAUGAAACCUAAACUAAAAGCUGGAAUUACCGGCAGAUUGUUUAGUGUUGAUUAUUGGUUUUCUGAAU